CCCUUAGAUGUUCUAGGCAGCACGCGCGCUACAAUGGUCUUCGCAAACGGAUGCAUUCUCGAAGGAGAAUGCCAAUCUUGGAAUCUAUGCCUUGGUCGGGACAGUUGCUUGCAAUUUUUCGACUCGAACCAGGAAUUCCUUGUAAUCGUGAUUCAUCACAUCACGAUGAAUACGUCCCUGCCCUUUGUACACACCGCCCGUCGCUCCUACCGAUCGAAGAGUUAGGUGAAUUGUUUUGAUCGAUAAGAUUUGACUAUGGUCAACUCUCGUUGGGAAAUUCUGUGAAUCUGACUGUUUAGAGGAAGGAAAAGUCGUAACA
rnacentral:rRNA from 1 species